GGUGAGAUGGCCGAGAGGAUGAAGGCGCUCCCCUGCUAAGGGAGUAUGUAGAAAUUUCUGCAUCGAGGGUUCGAAUCCCUCUCUCACCG
rnacentral:tRNA from 1 species